AGUAGCACCAUAAUUCUAUAUUUUUCUCUUAUGCAACUGAAGAGACUGAAGUUGAGAAAAAACAACUGGAGCUCGGAAUCUUAUAGAUUUGAUGAAGUUUUUACAGACACUGCCUCCCAAAGGCGAGUUUACGAAGCGGUUGCCAAGCCUGUAGUUGAGAGUGUCUUGAAUGGAUAUAAUGGAACAGUUAUGGCUUACGGUCAAACAGGUACUGGUAAAACUUACACACUCAGCAGGCUGGGUAAAGAUGAUACGUCUGAGCGUGGUAUAAUGGCCAGAGCUCUGGAGGACAUACUUUCUUGUACAUCUCCUGGUUUUGAUAGUGUGGAAAUUUCCUACUUGCAGGCAGAAGGGAUCUUCAGGAUCAAUGCAGGAAAUAGUCAAGAGGAGAUUGUUCGGGAUGGCUAGGGAGAAGACUAUUUUCCAUGAAUUUUUUGGAAAAAAACAAUGGUUGGUAUGCAUUUAUAAAGUAGAAAUGAGGCAAUUUUUAGGGAAAAAACAAUGGAGCAGUCUCAGUUGAUGUCAAUGGAUCAUGUGAGAGGGGUAAAUGUUGCAAACUUAGCUGAUAUGGAGCAAAGUCGUAUGCUUGCUAAUACAUUAGCUCAGAACAAUGAUCCUAAAUUUCAUGUUUGUAAGCUAUGGUGUGCUGCAACUCUAUGAUGCUCUUGUUUUCAACAUGAAGAUAUUCUUCUUUAUUGCAUGGGAAGAAAAGUAAAGCACGAGGUCCCUGAAGAUUGGGUCUGUGAAUCAUGCCAAAGUGUCAGUGACUCAGUUUUGAUGGAAUCUGGGAAGAGAGAUGAGGCUGUCACAAUAGCAAUGAGCAAGGGGCAAUUGUCAAUUUCACAGCUUCAUUCCAAGAAGAAAAAGCCAGUAGAAACUGGUAAAGUUAAGUUCAUUCCUCAUGAAGAAAUACUUGAAAGAAAUCCUUAAUAAUAAUAAAAAAAUUGUGAUGCUGUGAAAUCAUUCCUUGCUUGAAAAGAAAAAUGCUCAGGCAUUUUUUUUUUGGUGUAGCACUCCUUGCUUUAAGGAAUACUCAAUGCUUCUUUGUGACUGACACUUGUGGUUGUAGUUUCGAUAGUUUUUCAUGAGGGCCUCUUUGCUGUCUUUGUUGGUCUCUGUUUGUAGUUUUAUGUCUUAUAUGUACUAUCUUAGUCUGAGGCUGUCUAGACUGUAAUACAGUACAGGUGAUUUCUUAUCAUUUUUUUUAAUACAAUCUUGUAUGGUUGGGAUUGAAAUGAUAGUGUUUAUGUGAGAAUAGAAAUAGAAUGGGAAAGAAAUAUCAAUUCUUUUGUUUGGUUGAAA